ACCGACGAGGGCGACUAUCAGGUCAAGCUUAAGAACCUGAUACGUUUCCUCGAAGGUGGCGACAAGGGCAAGGUCACGCUGCGUUUUCGUGGCCGUGAGAUGGCUCACCAGGACAUCGGCCGCAAGCUGAUGGAACGGGUAGCCAAAGAUCUUGAAGAUCUGGCAAACGUAGAGUCUUUCCCGAAAAUGGAAGGCCGCCAGAUGAUCAUGAUCCUUGCCCCCAAGAAGAAGUGAUCCAAAGGCAGUUGAACGGGUGUCGGCCGGGACUCGAUUCCGGCCGGCAUCGGCCUUGGGUUUUCUGAAGAACCUCGAGCGGAGUUUUCCCUCAUGCCGA
rnacentral:misc_RNA from 1 species